CACUCACUUGUGCUGCAUGUGGCUGCCAUAGAAGCUUUCACAGAAGGGAAGUUGACACUGAGGUCGUGUGUGAGUGCUCUUCACCGUCUUCAACCGCGACUUAACUAGAGAUGAAACUAAAGCUUAAUCAAGGAUUGUUAAUCAGUGGAGGUUAAUUCAUGUCAUGUGUUAACUUUGCUUGUUUCUCUAUAUAUCUGGGUUUGAGGGUUUUGAUCUUAAGUACUUUCUCUCUCUCUCUUUUUAAUUUGGUUUUCGUGUUUGAGAUUGUUCAUUUUCCUUGUCGAUUUAUAGGGUUAAUUCAUUGACAUGAGUGGCUAAGACCUCCUUAAUUUGUGAUCUCAUAUUUAUGUACAAAAGAGAGAAGAAGUGUGUUUUGUUCUUGAAUAUGAAUGAAUGAUUCUCCCUUUUUCUGAUUU
rnacentral:lncRNA from 1 species